UAGGGAAUAUUAGAAAUGGACGAAAGUCUGAUCUAGCAACACCGCGUGUGCGAAGAAGGCCUUCGGGUUGUAAAGCACUUUUUGGAAGGAUUAGGAAGGAAUGUACUUCCAGAAUAAGUCUCGGCUAACUACGUGCCAGCAGCCGCGGUAACACGUAGGAGGCAAACGUUAUCCGGAUUUACUGGGCGUAAAGCGCGUGUAGGUGGUUUGGUAAGUAGAGCGUGAAAGCUCCUGGCUCAACUGGGAGAGGUCGUUCUAAACUGCCGGACUAGAGGAUGGUAGAGGGAGGUGGCAUUCCGGGUGUAGCGGUGGAAUGCGCAGAUAUCCGGAGGAACACCAGUGGCGAAAGCGGCCUGCUGGACCACUCCUGACACUCAGACGCGAAAGCUAGGGUAGCAAACGGUAUUAGAUAUCUUGGUAGUC
rnacentral:rRNA from 1 species